AUUGAACGCUGGCGGCAGGCUUAACACAUGCAAGUCGAGCGGGGGGAGGUAGCUUGCUACCUAACCUAGCGGCGGACGGGUGAGUAAUGCUUAGGAAUCUGCCUAUUAGUGGGGGACAACAUUUCGAAAGGGAUGCUAAUACCGCAUACGCCCUAAGGGGGAAAGCAGGGGAUCUUCGGACCUUGCGCUAAUAGAUGAGCCUAAGUCGGAUUAGCUAGUUGGUGGGGUAAAGGCCUACCAAGGCGACGAUCUGUAGCGGGUCUGAGAGGAUGAUCCGCCACACUGGGACUGAGACACGGCCCAGACUCCUACGGGAGGCAGCAGUGGGGAAUAUUGGACAAUGGGGGGAACCCUGAUCCAGCCAUGCCGCGUGUGUGAAGAAGGCCUUUUGGUUGUAAAGCACUUUAAGCGAGGAGGAGGCUACCGAGAUUAAUACUCUUGGAUAGUGGACGUUACUCGCAGAAUAAGCACCGGCUAACUCUGUG
rnacentral:rRNA from 1 species